rnacentral:tRNA from 1 species
UCCCUGGAGGACUAGUGGUUUGGCCACAGCGCUCUCACUGCCACGGCCCAGGUUUGAUUCCCGGCCAGGGAA